CCCACCAGCGCUCGCGACCUUCCAUCGUCGGUGCGUUCCUGCCAUGCCCUGUCCCUCCCCGCCUCACCACGCGCCGUCACCGCCUGCCCCAUCGGCGCACCUACCCCUAUCUCCGGAUUAAGUUGGGUCAAAGAGCGGGGAGGCUUUUGUUGCGAAUCCUUGCGGCAGCGGCGGGGCUUGCCGGCUGCAAGGCGGAGAAGGAGCGCGACAACAGGGUGGCUUGAGGCUCGUGGUGGACCGGAUCCAACGAGGAGAAGGUCGGAUUCAUCAGCUGGCGGCAUCGACAAGGGGUUUAACAAUGGUCAGAGGCAGCUCGCGUACUCCAUGGGGGGAUGCACGACUUCCCCUUCCGCAGAACGCUAACCUGCUUCCUCCCCCGCGCCCCUCCUCUUUACUUGAGCACAACAUGGCAGUGGCGGAUUGCUCUCAAAUACUGCUCCCAAUUCCUCUGUUUAUAGGGAAAAAAGUAGUAUGUCUGACCACGGUGGAAUUUAGUGCGUGCUCUCCUCUAUGCCCUAUAAUCCUCUUCAUAUUGAAUUGAAUCUGGGAAUCCAACCAUGGAAGAAACAUCCAUCUUCUGAUCUUUGUCUUGCCUCAAGUGCAAUUUCAGUUUGUCCAGUAGUGCUCUUGACAAAUUUCUACAAUGAAGAAUGAAAUACUAGGAGAUAGGCUACCAACUCGGUAAGAAUAUAGAUGUCAAGGAUCUGCC
rnacentral:lncRNA from 1 species